AUUGAACGCUGGCGGCAGGCCUAACACAUGCAAGUCGAACGGUAACAGGAAGAAGCUUGCUUCUUUGCUGACGAGUGGCGGACGGGUGAGUAAUGUCUGGGAAACUGCCUGAUGGAGGGGGAUAACUACUGGAAACGGUAGCUAAUACCGCAUAACGUCUCAAGCCCAAAGAGGGGGACCUUCGGGCCUCUUGCCAUCGGAUGUGCCCAGAUGGGAUUAGCUAGUAGGUGGGGUAACGGCUCACCUAGGCGACGAUCCCUAGCUGGUCUGAGAGGAUGACCAGCCACACUGGAACUGAGACACGGUCCAGACUCCUACGGGAGGCAGCAGUGGGGAAUAUUGCACAAUGGGCGAAAGCCUGAUGCAGCCAUGCCGCGUGUAUGAAGAAGGCCUUCGGGUUGUAAAGUACUUUCAGCGGGGAGGAAGGGAGUAAAGUUAAUACCUUUGCUCAUUGACGUUACCCGCAGAAGAAGCACCGGCUAACUCCGUG
rnacentral:rRNA from 1 species